CCGCGUGCCUAAUACAUGCAAGUCGAACGCAUUGUGGUUGAAAUGAUAUGAAGAACUUGUUCAGAUUUGAUUUUCAACAUUGCAAUGAGUGGCGAACGGGUGAGUAACACGUGGGAAACCUACCUCUUAGCAGGGGAUAACAUUUGGAAACAAAUGCUAAUACCGUAUAAUAAUUAAAACCGCAUGGUUUUAGUUUAAAAGAUGGUCUUGCUAUCACUAAGAGAUGGUCCCGCGGUGUAUUAGUUAGUUGGUGAGGUAAUGGCUCACCAAGACAAUGAUACAUAGCCGAGUUGAGAGACUGACCGGCCACAAUGGGACUGAGACACGGCCCAUACUCCUACGGGAGGCAGCAGUAGGGAAUCUUCCACAAUGGACGAAAGUCUGAUGGAGCAACGCCGCGUGUGUGAUGAAGGGUUUCGGCUCGUAAAACACUGUUGUAAGAGAAGAAUGACAUUGAGAGUAACUGUUCAAUGUGUGACGGUAUCUUACCAGAACGGAACGGCUAAAUACGUGCCAGCAGCCGCGGUAAUACGUAUGUUCCAAGCGUUAUCCGGAUUUAUUGGGCGUAAAGCGAGCGCAGACGGUUAUUUAAGUCUGAAGUGAAAGCCCUCCGCUCAACCGAGGAAUUGCUUUGGAAACUGGAUAACUUGAGUGCAGUAGAGGAAAGUGGAACUCCAUGUGUAGCGGUGAAAUGCGUAGAUAUAUG
rnacentral:rRNA from 1 species